rnacentral:rRNA from 1 species
AUUGAACGCUGGCGGCAUGCCUUACACAUGCCAGUCGAACGGUAACAGGUUAAGCUGACGAGUGGCGAACGGGUGAGUAAUGUAUCGGAACGUGCCCAGUCGUGGGGGAUAACUGCUCGAAAGAGCAGCUAAUACCGCAUACGACCUGAGGGUGAAAGCGGGGGAUCGCAAGACCUCGCGCGAUUGGAGCGGCCGAUAUCAGAUUAGGUAGUUGGUGAGGUAAAGGCUCACCAAGCCGACGAUCUGUAGCUGGUCUGAGAGGACGACCAGCCACACUGGGACUGAGACACGGCCCAGACUCCUACGGGAGGCAGCAGUGGGGAAUUUUGGACAAUGGGCGCAAGCCUGAUCCAGCCAUGCCGCGUGCGGGAAGAAGGCCUUCGGGUUGUAAACCGCUUUUGUCAGGGAAGAAAAGGUUCUGGCUAAUACCUGGGACUCAUGACGGUACCUGAAGAAUAGGCACCGGCUAACUACGUG